CUGUACUGGAGGAGGGUCAAAUGAUAAGGUUGCCAGCCUCAGCUACAACCCUCUUGUGAUGCAAGCGGCUGCAGACGGUGCUCUCUGUACAUGAGGUAAACCUCAGCCCCGCUUCCUUGGCUACAGCAGAUUGAACUGAGAAUUGACGCCUGACCCAAAGGCAACCAUUCACGGAAUAUCCAAGUAGCCAAUGAAAUGGGCUGAUGCAAGAGCUCCGCCUCCGGUGGUCAGUUUCCUAGACGAUGACCGGCCAGUGGAACAGAACCUCUUUCACGCAAUUAGAAUUUGGGACCCAUUGGGUGUGGGAGAGGGGGAAGUAAUGAAACGGUAGGGUGGAAAUGGGCAGACUCCCUGAGAACCGUCAGAAAGCCCUGUCCACAUGGCGCUGGGAGCCAUGACAAAACAGGAACAACGGCGUAGAGGAAAAGAAGUGCAGAGAGGGUUUGGCAGCGUGAGCAGAGAAAAGCAGAGGCAGAGCGCAGCUGAGUCACUAUACUGGCAGAGCAUUAGAGAGGGAGCAACAGAUGCCUACUGCUGAAGCAAUGUCAAGAAAAACAGGUGGCUGGAGGUAUACUGUGUCCUGAACGACAUUCCCAGCUCCGCCAGGCAGCUGUUAAAACUGCUUCCUGCUCUUCCCCACUUCCUCCGGUAUCCUUGCAAUGAGCCACGUUAACCCGAGUCACCAGAGCACAUCUCUCUUCCUGGCAACCUGAAAAAGCCUGAUCAACGCCAUGUAAUAUUCAUAUCUCUAUUAUGGCACGUAUCAGGUGGCGUUAUGAUGAUUUGUUUUUAUGAUUCUCCCUGACUACACUCCUUAAGGUCAAGAACUGUGUUCAGUGCCUUCUUAAAACAUCCUCAGCAACCGGAUAGUAUACCAGCACAUAGGAGGUGCUGGCGAAUCGUUGGAUGAAUUAACUGGAGAAAAGUGUGAGUGUGCAUGUGGCCAAAAGAGCCACGGGAAGUUCAGUUAGCAUUCCUCUAAAGGAGUUUAUCCUCACAAACAUUUUAUGAGGAAGAUAAAGCAGGCGUUGUUAAUGUCCUGGUGGGGAAGAGAAAGCUCAAAAUGACACAGUACCUUUCCUGGGAGCACAUAUUUCGGAUAAUCAUUCAUCAUCGAUGUGUUUGAUCAGAAGGUCAGGUUCUGAAGACAGCCACAAGAUGAAGGCCACAGAUAAUCAAAACUGCCCUUGAAACUCUCUUAGGGAGGAGCCGUGCCAGAAACUGGUAUACUGUUUCUCAGCUAACACCUCCCCCCAUCCCUGUCUCUCUCUUUCUCUCUCUCUCUCUCUCUCUCAUAUAAUCAAACUUACAAAAGUUAAAUGCAUGUAAAAUUUGCCUUCACUGUUCUACCUAGUCUACAGGGAAGACUGAACUAAGCACUAAUAAAAUAUUCUAAAAUCAAGAUCUAUAUUAAGGGUAUUUAUUUAAUUUGGUGGAGCAUCUUAGUUAAAGAAGAGAUGACUAGCCUCUAGAAUCAGAUAAUUUUUUUUUUUGCUGUGGAGGCUUCAAAAGGGGGAAUUUUUGUAUGAAUGUCCCUGAGAAAAGGAAAAUGAAUUUUAUGACUACUGAAUUUAGAGAAAUUUAAAUGCAAAAGGAAAUCAAUCUCUGCUGCCCUUGCCCUCCUCUCCCCCUCCCUUAAACAACAAAAACAAAAUUCCUGGUUUUCUCCAACUUCCUCUUCAAGACUUGAUUCAGGCAUCAAAGCCUUCUAGGGCGACCAGUUUCCUCAACAAACUGCUUGUCGCUCUUUCUGCCUCCCUCUUCCUCUUCCUUUCCCUUCCUCCUACCCACUUCUCCUCCUAAAUCUCCAUCCCACUCUUGUUUGUGUAGCAGCUCACAGUGGACACAGACCAUGGUCUUAGGGAGGCCUUGGUAAAAAUUUAUUAAAAAUUAAUCAACUCCCGUAGACACUACAGAGGACUUUGGACAAAGAUCUAGCUGAUUUCCUGGAGCAGUACCUGGGGAAUAAUUUUUUUGGCUCCAAAAGGAUGAUAUUUUAAGUUGUUAUAUAUUUGCUGAU